GGGUCUACCCAUUGGUCAGGCUUAAUUGUCUGUACUGGUGAGAUGGAUCUCUACCUUCUGAGGAACUUUCAUGUCAUUUAUUUGGUGUGAUGGGAAAUCAGGACUGUUACUUUGAAAAAAUUAGAGUGUUUAAAGCAGGCAUUAUUUGCUUGAAUACAUUAGCAUGGAAUAAUAAAAUAGGACGGAUGGUUCUAUUUUGUUGGUUUCUAGGAUCACCGUA
rnacentral:rRNA from 1 species